AAAGGACGUAAAUUUGUUUUGUGGAAAUUCUAUUUAAGUCGUUACUUCAGAUUGUAUCCUGUUAUGUUGAUUGUUUGUCUAUUUUUUAUAACUUUGGGACGAUUUUGUUUUGACGGACCGUUAUACCCAAAAACGGUUAUUGAAGUUACGUAUUGGAGAGAUUACAUAUGGACUUUGAUAAUAUGUGUUGGUAACUUUUUUAUGCAAGGGGAUAAAGCUUACUCAUUAUCCCAUUUAUGGUACGUUUUUUGUGACACUCAAUUUUAUCUGUUUACGCCACUGGUAUUUUUAAUUUAUUUAAAAUUUUCAAAAAAAUGUGCCUUAUAUUUUCUUGGCAUUUUAUUGAUAACUUCUAUUUCCUGCGUUUUGAUUGGUGGAUAUAUGGUCACUGCAAAUGGUGGCAUACACUCACCAGAAUAUUUUGAUAUAUUGUAUAGGAUGCCAUAUUUCCGAGC